rnacentral:misc_RNA from 1 species
CCAAUAGCGUAUAUUAAAGUUGUUGCAGUUAAAAAGCUCGUAGUUGAAUUUCGGGAUCAAGUCGUCGGUCGUGCCUCGGUACGCACUGGUGACAUUGGUUUCUCCCUUCUGAAGAACCUUGAUGUCAUUAAUUUGGUGUCUUGGGGAAUCAGGACUGUUACUUUGAAAAAAUUAGAGUGUUUAAAGCAGGCUCACGCUUGAAUACAUUAGCAUGGAAUAAUGAAAUAGAACGUUUGAUUCUAUUUUGUUGGUUUCUAGGAUCGACGUAAUGAUUAAUAGGGAUAGUUGGGGGCAUUAGUAUUCAAUUGUCAGAGGUGAAAUUCUUGGAUUUAUUGAAGACUAACUACUGCGAAAGCAUUUGCCAAGGAUGUUUUCAUUAAUCAAGAACGAAAGUUAGGGGAUCGAAGACGAUCAGAUACCGUCGUAGUCUUAACCAUAAACUAUGCCGACUAGGGAUCGGAUGAUGUUAAUUUUUUAAUGACUCAUUCGGCGCCUUACG